rnacentral:tRNA from 1 species
AGGGGUAUAGCUCAGAGGGCGGGCUUGGUGUGCCCAAGGUCCUUGGUUCAAUCCCUAGUGUCUCUG